rnacentral:misc_RNA from 1 species
AGAAAAACCUCAAGCUUGAAUUCAUUCAUGACUUGGUAUUGGCAUUGGGGUGGACUCGAGCCAUUCCUAUCCGAAAUUCAAUGGCAAGGUUGUCUGUACCAACAAGUGUAGUAAUCGACAUUAUGUUUCACCGUUGUACGGAUCAACAUUCGCCGUUAACCCCUCAUUUCAAGU